CUGAUUUCAUAAAUUAAAAGAAUAAUAAAAGUAUUAUAAAACUGAGAAAGUUGACUGCUUUCUUCCUCCUUCUUCAUUCCUUCAUUUUCAUGGCAAACACAUGGCACACAUGCCUUCACUCUCUUCUUCUUCUUCAAGUCAAAAUAUGUCACCAAUCCCUCACCAUUGCUUCUUCAAGUUAACAAAUUCAGAUUAUUUACUUCACCAUCUUCCUCCCAACCACUGAUUUUUAACUCCAAACUUUCCUAUAAAUAGUCAUGGAUACAACACCAAGAAACCAUCAACAACAACCUUCAUCAUCUCUCCUUCCUCCAAUCAGAAAUUCAGUCAAUAAUCGCCGGAAAAAUUGCAACUAGAAGAAACCCAAAAGAAAACCCCAAAUUUGUUCUCUCUCUCUCUCCUCUAUUUCGACCCCCACAACCGACCACCGUCGGCCACCGCGCGCGCCACCUGCGCCGCGCCCAGUCCCUCCCCCACCUCGUCGUCACUCGCCGGUCACCAGCCGCCGUCGGAGCUCCGCCAAACUCUCUCCUCCUCGCGCCCUCUCUCUCGCUCCUCUUCUUCUUCGUGCGACGCUGCUGCACGCGCAGCACCGCCGACAACCCACGCGCGCCCACCGCCGGAGAUCGACGCUACUGCUCGACGCAGUUCACGGAGCCGGCGUCCCACCCCUGCCGGAAUUUUUGUCCUCCCUGCUCCUAGUAGCAGAGAUUAAGGAAGAUAAAGGAUAUUACAAGCCUCCCCCGGCUAUCAAGGUUAUUAAGCAGGAAUUCAGGUAACGUCUAUUGCUAACACCCACAAUCCCUUUCGAAUGAUGUUUUAUGGUAUUUCGCACUAUGUUGUUGAUGUAUGGAUUGUGGGAUAUGAAAGGUUUUAUGAUUAUGAUGAUUUUCGAUGAUAUGAAAUGAUUUUGAUGUUUAUGGAAAUAUGAGUAUGAUGCCACUACGAUUUUAAUGAUGUUUCAUGAUUAUGAUUACAAUAAUGUAAUGUAAUUAUGAUAUGUAAAAAGAGACGAAACAUGAUAAAGUACAGUGAAAGAUGGUUCUUGGCAGUAUAAUACGGGCACCGCAAGUGUCACCUAUGUUGUGACUGCCUGACUGUUUUAUACGGGCACCGCAAGUGUCACCUAUGUUGUGACCGCCUGACUGUUUUAUGAUACGGGCACCGCAAGUGUCACCUAUGUUGUGACCGCCUGAUUGUUUAAAUGAUACGGGCACCGCAAGUGUCACCUAUGAUGUGACCGCCUAAUUGUUAUGUAAUGGGAGAUGUCCCCUAUGUUAUGAUGUACUAGCCAAGUUACCGAAGUAAAAGACAUAUGAUGAUGAACAUGAUAAAGAAGAUAAUGUAACAUGAUAUGACAUGAUGUUUUGUUUUAUGUUUUAGGUAUGGGAGAACAGUGUGGAUCACUAUUAUACUGCGUUAUGGAGAUUAUGUAUGAUUAUACGAGGUUUUAGGAUAUUUUGUAUAAUGGAUAAACAAGUAUUAAUUUUGUGAUGAGUAAUUGUUUAGUGAAUUUUCAAUUUUAGGCUAUUAUUUUAUUUGUGGGCCAUAACCCACAUGAUUAAGUUAUGCUUCCGCUGACGAUUAAGGUUAUGUAAAUUUGUCGGGGCGUUACAUUUCUGUUUUAAUUAAAAGCUUGAUUACUAUUUGCUCUA